UACGGGGGGGGCAAGCGUUGUUCGGAAUUACUGGGCGUAAAGGGCUCGUAGGCGGCCAACUAAGUCAGACGUGAAAUCCCCAGGCUCAACCUGGGAACUGCGUCUGAUACUGGAUGGCUUGAAUCCGGGAGAGGGAUGCAGAAUUCCAGGUGUAGCGGUGAAAUGCGUAGAUAUCUGGAGGAAUACCGGUGGCGAAGGCGACACGCUGGGCCGUACCUGACGCUAAAACGCGACAGCAUGGGGAGCGAACGGG
rnacentral:rRNA from 1 species